rnacentral:rRNA from 1 species
AACGAACGCUGGCGGCAUGCCUAACACAUGCAAGUCGAACGAGACCUUCGGGUCUAGUGGCGCACGGGUGCGUAACGCGUGGGAAUCUACCCUCAGGUUCGGAAUAACUCAGAGUAAUUUGAGCUAAUACCGGAUGAUGACGUAAGUCCAAAGAUUUAUCGCCUGAGGAUGAGCCCGCGUAGGAUUAGGUAGUUGGUGAGGUAAAGGCUCACCAAGCCGACGAUCCUUAGCUGGUCUGGGAAGAUGAUCAGCCACACUGGGACUGAGACACGGCCCAGCCUGCUACGGGAGGGAGCAGUGGGGAAUAUUGGACAAUGGGCGAAAGCCUGAUCCAGCAAUGCCGCGGGAGUGAUGAAGGCCUUAGGGUUGUAAAGCUCUUUUACCCGGGAUGAGAAUGACAGUAACGGGAGAAUAAGCACCGGCUAACUCCGUG